GGGUCAGUGGGUUGGUCGUGCCACCGGUACGUACUGGUCUCACUGAUUCCUCCUCCCUGAAGAACCGUAAUGCCAUUAAUUUGGUGUUGCGGGGAAACAGGACUGUUACUUUGAAAAAAUUAGAGUGUUUAAAGCAAGCUAACGCUUGAAUACAUUAGCAUGGAAUAAUGAAAUAGGACGAUCGAUCCUAUUUUGUUGGUUUCUAGGAUUGACGUA
rnacentral:rRNA from 1 species